rnacentral:tRNA from 1 species
GUAGCUCAACUGGUAGAGCAACUGACUUGUAAUCAGUAGGUUGGGGGUUCAAGUCCUCUCGCCGGCACCA